UACGUAGGGUGCGAGCGUUGUCCGGAAUUAUUGGGCGUAAAGGGCUCGUAGGCGGUUUGUCGCGUCGGGAGUGAAAACUCAGGGCUUAACCCUGAGCCUGCUCCCGAUACGGGCAGACUAGAGGUAUGCAGGGGAGAACGGAAUUCCUGGUGUAGCGGUGAAAUGCGUAGAUAUCGGAAGGAACACCAGUGGCGAAAGCGGCUUCCUGGUCCAGCACCGACAUUCAGGCACGAAAGCGUGGGGAGCAAACAGG
rnacentral:rRNA from 1 species